rnacentral:lncRNA from 1 species
UUGAAGACACAAAGCAUUACACCUGCUCAGACUGAGGUGCAUUGUCUGGCAUUGUGAAUACUGCUGUCUUUUGCCUACACAGAACUGUUUUCUGUGAGAGAAGCCCCACAUAAAAUUAUAUGAGGGCUAAUAACCCUUCCACUGUAUUGCUGUAAAUGGCUCUUUGCUCUUUCUUCCAACAUUUUACAGUUGAUCUGCUUGCGGUUUUUAUCAGCUAGGACUAUCUUCUUUAGGGAUAUACUGUUUUGAAAAUGGCACUUUUCCUUGCAGAACUUCUGUAGCCCAGUUACAAGACGAACUAUUAAGCUACUUAGCUGAGAGUCCGAUUUUCUUUUCCUCAUGUUAAAAAAACAUUGUAAACUUGACAUCCAUUGGACCAGGUUAAGGAGGGAUGAUAUGAAUCUUUCCUUAAGGUCUCAAUGAGUGUCCACACCCACCAUCAGUGUUGCAUACACUUGCCCUACUCUCAGAUACAUGUGUACCUGGUGUAGCUGCAUUUAUUUGUUGUGAGACCUUAAUAAGAAUGAGACCUUGGACUUGAAACAGGGAAAACACCUAAGUAAUGAAAACACUGAAUUUAUGCUUUGAUUUUGUUAGUAUUAUAUUACAAUUAGCUAGCCUUCCACUUAUAGAUACACUGUUUAAUAUGGAAAUUGGAUAUUAGAAUCCAGUGAAGGCCUAAGCAUUGACUCCUGGAUCUAGUCAAAUUUCUUGGAUCAUUAGAAAGAUUGGAUGUGAAUAUUACAUAGCAGGCACCUGAGCUCUUGUUCCUUGUUUCACUGUGUAAGCAUUAGUUGAAUUUGGUGGAGCAGAUGAGAUCAAGCCAGUUCACCAAGUGAGCAUGUGUAAUAAUUUAGUGGUAGACUUUACACACAUUAGGGAUGGCAUGUUGCUUAUGAAAACUUAACAACACAAGCACCUGUUUUUUCAGUUCACCCAUCUGUUGAUUUACAAAUAAGAUGCUGCCAAGCUCUUGCAGCAUGCAGGUUUUGUGGCAGGCUUUGUGGGAUAAAAAGCACCCCUGUGUUAGCAGGAACAUAGGCAGGCUUUUCUUAGUAGAAUAUCUGUUCCUCCACUUUCUUGAUUUUCCUGACUCAUGAGUCCAUCAAGUCAUAGCACAUAACUCCCUGUUGACAAAGCUCCCUGCAGACAUGCAGUAGCCAAGAGCUCAGCUCUGUGUGGAUUAACACUCUCUCUAGGCUUACAAAGCAUUGGCACUAUUGCCAGCAGUGCCAUUCCACAGCCAGGAACCAGAAAGGCAAGGAGAUACUCUGAGAGCACUGGGGCAGACAUACCUAGCAUUUCCUGGGAGCUGUUCCAUUGGUUUCUAAGUUGAAUUAAUAAAACAGAUGAGGAAAGGAGAGACAAAAAGCAGCAGGUGCUUUUGGUGAUAGAAUCGCUGAAUAUGUCAGAGCAGGCAGGUAUGCCAGAAUUAAAUGAAGCUUGUGGAAAGCCUGUGGAAAGAUGAGCUUGGUCUCUCCCACAGUUUUAUGUGAUCUUUUAUAACAAUGUUUUCAACUCAAUGACCGUUAAGACUCAAUAUUGCAGAGUCAGAAACUCUCUUGGUAAAGUUUUGGCUUCCAAUCUUCAAUAGUUUUAUUCUAAACAAACCGUUGUUUGGUAUAAAUUUAUGGACUAAUGACAAAUAUGGAUUGAAAAUUGAUUUAAGUUUAUAGAAAUUGGCCCUAAAACAUAAUGAAUUGGCCUUUGCUAACAGACAUUUCGUGGAUGAGUUAAGAAAUUAAAGAUCUCUGAACAUUUUAAUGCAAAUAUUUUAUUUUUAGUUCUAUUUAAUGAGAUGACAAGAAUUCAUCCAUUCAUGGGAGUUCUAUUCAGUGUGCAUCAAACAUUGUUCUAGGUGUCCAUGAUGAAGAUAUUGAUAAUGAAUAACACUAGCAGCAAUGUAAUUUUCUGUUUUAUACUUAUGUGGUACGGCUAGAUUAAACCUUGCCAUUAGAGAAAAUUUUGUGUUUUAAUAGGUCCCAGAGUGGCAUUACUGUCAUGGGUAUAGAUAGUCUAUCCACUGUGUUGUACAGCUAUGUGACUGAAGAAUAGAAAGAGACCUUUCUUCAUUUUGUGAAGCCUAGUUUUUUUCACAGCCUCUAGAAUCCAGUCAUGGAUUCAAUAAACUUUCAAUUGGCUUCAUUCAAUUAUGUGUGCUCCCUUUUCAUAAUUACACAAAGCACCUUGAGGCUUAUGUACUGACUGAACACUCUUCUAAGUGCCAUUUCUGUGGAGAGCCUUCUAGAUCAUCACUUGAAUUAAUUCUUUUGUGUCCUUAUUCAGAAGUUGAGUCGAAGGGAACUGAGCAAGUCAACUCUUAAAUGACUUUAGGGACUUAAAAUAUUAACAAGUAAAACCUUGUAGCUUAUCUUAAUAAUAAAGAUAAUAAGCAUUACAUAAACUUGGGGUCAAAGCUUCAGUAUCUUUCUCACUUGCUAGUUUUCACUCACAUCUUUCCCUGGAUGCAAAUGGGUAUCAUUCCAUUCCUUGAUUUUUUUCCUCUUCCCUUUGCUAAUUUCUAAAAGCAUAGCAACCAAAGCAAUGCUAAUGAGCAAGAAAGCAUGUGCUUCCUUGAUGAGGACUCAAUAAGCCAUUCUGCUGCCCUUUCUGCCAGAUAACCAGUUACUGAUGGCAAUCCU